CCUACGGGAGGCAGCAGUAGGGAAUUUUCGGCAAUGGGCGGAACCCUGACCGAGCAACGCCGCGUGAACGAAGAAGUUAUUCGUAAUGUAAAGUUCUUUUAACCGGGAAGAAAGAGAAAUUUGACGGUACCUGAAGAAUAAGCUCCGGCGAACUACGUUCCAGCAGCCGCGGUAAUACGUAGGGAGCGAGGGUUAUCCGGCAUGAUUGGGUUUAAAGGAUGCGUAGGCGGAAGAUCAAGUCAGCGGGAAAAAUUCGGGGCUCAACCCCGUCGUGCCGUUGAAACUGUUGUUCUUGAGUGGGCGAGAAGUAUGCGGAAUGCGUGGUGUAGCGGUGAAAUGCAUAGAUAUCACGCAGAACUCCGAUUGCGAAGGCAGCAUACCGGCGCUCAACUGACGCUCAUGCACGAAAGCGUGGGUAUCGAACAGGAUUAGAUACCCCGGUAGUC
rnacentral:rRNA from 1 species